UUUGGGCAGUGACAUUUCAGAAAUUAACACAGAAUUGUAAAGCAGGACUGUGGUUCGAGCGCCAUCUUGAUAGUCACGCCUCGUGAUGAAUUGCUUUGUUUUUUGCUCAUUCAUAUUGUUUAACGUGUAAUAUCGAUAGCUUAUUAUACAGUAAACUAAUGUGGUAGUGUGCGAUGAAUGGAGAAUUCAUCUUGAAACGCGUUUAUCCACGAUGUUGGAGUCAACGGCCGGUAGUCCACGUGCUACUUGUAAAGUCCAGCUAUCGCUUUACAAGAGCUGAUAAAAUCACCGUACACUGUCUUGUACUAACCGGACAACUUUAGUCGUAUUAAAGCUUCUAAGACCUUGAUACUGGCGAAAAUAGUCCCACUGGACUGAAGCCAUAAUUUUAAAAAAAAAGAAGAAGAAUUGUAAGGCAGUCAGAUACCAGAAAGUGGCUGAAAAACUCACACAUUUUUAUAAUAAAAUCAUGACAAAGUAAAUAGCCGUCAUACAUACACGCCCACAUAUUUGCAAAGCAAGCUAAUUGAUGACAAUUACAACGGUCGGUCUCAUUAUAAUAAAGAUUAGGUUUAUUUAUUAGGUAAGUUAGAUUUACAAUUACGUUAUUAUUUAUUGUAUUUUUAUUAUUCUAGUAGCCAACUGUUGACGCCGCUUCGCUACGUUUACCAUUAAUUAUAUGUUUAUUCUGAGUUCAAUCUUGUUUCCACUACACAGAGCAUAUAUUUGCAUUGUAUCGAGCCGCACCCAAUCAUAACACCUGAAUAUCGCGUGAUAUGUAUAAUUAGCCAAUCACAGCUCCGCAUCCUCACGACACAUAUGCCGGAGCCUUCAGCUCCCUACACUUGCUUUCCUAUCGCCACACAAACCACACUAUUCAAAAAUAUCUAAAAAACUGUAAUUAAACAGUAUUUAUUAUAUUUGAUUUGUGGUUUGCUUUCUAAAAAAUCUAAAUCCUUGUUCCUAUACGGAACAAAAUGGCGACCGUGACCGGACCUGCAGCUAUUAAUCAGAUUUCGAAGUCUCCGUUGCAGUUCCUUUGUUCCUAAGCGACGAGUUCUCCGCCACGUGCGCUACGUGCAGCGCCUAGAUGCCUGGAGAAGUUCCAAGGCAUCAGCUGUGCCCUAUCCUGUGCAUCGUGCAGCGAGACCCGAUCGCCCCAGCGUCUGAGAGGCGCACCUACGACCCACCACGGAGUACCUCCGCCACGUGUGCUACGUGCAGCGCCUAGUUGCCUGGAGAAGUUCCAAGGCAUCAGCUGUGCCCUAUCCUGUGCAUCGUGCAGCGAGACCCGAUCGCCUCAGCGUCUGAGAGGCGCACCUACAAUCCACUACGGAGUACCUCCGCCACGUGUGCUACGUGCAGCGCCUAGUUGCCUGGAGAAGUUCCAAGGCAUCAGCUGUGCCCUAUCUUGUGCAUCGUGCAUCGACUCCCUAUCGCCCGCGUCUAAGAGGCGCGCCUACAAUCCACAACGGACUCACGGCCUACACGCAGCAGCCACGUGCCACGUGCCACGCCGCACCGGAAAGCGCCUACUUUGUUCUGCCUGCCCUAUAAUCAAGUGAGCCCGUUCCUAUUACUUUCCUAGUUCACUCCUCUUUGAUAUUUGCCAGGAGCGAAUCCAGUUACUCAAAAAAAAAAAUUAUAGCCUAAAAUACCUACUCAAUUUUUCCAACCGAAAGGCCUAAAAGACAAUCACCUACCUAUAUUUCUGCUUGCAGAACCUACUUUAAGCGAUUAGAAAUACCUAUCUUUACCAGUUGCACUCCUAUUACUCUAAAUAAUCUUUGUUAGGCACCGCUAGCAUUGCAUUUGUAAUAGCCUACUUCACUGUGCAGCUAACUUCAUUAAAACAUUAACCUGUUUAAAAUAUUUUUGUCAAUUUUCCAAUACCUAAUUGCACCCACGUGGUCACGCCUGUUCAUAACCUAACAGUUUCCAGCCAAUCAUUUCAUUUCCUAAAUUUUAAAAUUAAAGUUUGCAAUUCUUGCCCACUCGCUUAUCGCAUCGAAUCAGCUGUUUAGCCCUUCAUUUUUUGCUAUUCCAGUGACCUACAUUCGGUGCAGUAUCCACAACGCCCAGGAGUGCUGCGCGAGCGCACUAGUUCCUCCGCGCGUGCCCGAGAGUUCAUUAUCGUCUGGCAGAACGUACGGCGCAUCGUGGGACCAUUGAGCGAGGAGCGUAUCGCCCCUCACGUCGUUGCCGUCUCCGAGCAUCCUGGGUGUCAUCUCCACUUCCCGUCGUCUAAACCUAGAUGACUUCGUCUGUCUUCGUCACCAUAAUGAGCUUGAAAGCUGUACGAGCUUUCAACGGCCGGGAGGAUGUUCACGCCGCUUCGCUACGUUUACCAUUAAUUAUAUGUUUAUUCUGAGUUCAAUCUUGUUUCCACUACACAGAGCAUAUAUUUGCAUUGUAUCGAGCCGCACCCAAUCAUAACACCUGAAUAUCGCGUGAUAUGUAUAAUUAGCCAAUCAUAGCUCCGCAUCCUCACGACACAUAUGCCGGAGCCUUCAGCUCCCUACACUUGCUUUCCUAUCGCCACACAAACCACACUAUUCAAAAAUAUCUAAAAAACUGUAAUUAAACAGUAUUUAUUAUAUUUGA